AUUCCGAGUAUAUGAAUCAGCUAUGUAAAUGUAUAGUCUAUAAUAAAAAAUAUUAUUUUUGUUUUCUUGGUAUGUCUCCACGCAGAGCACCUUAAGGAGUGUCCUAUACUUUGCGGUUAUAACAUGGCUUCCGGUUUACGUCACGGGAGGGGAUUAUGGUUACAGCGGCUAUGGGGGAGUUGGGUUUUCUGGCUACCCAAUGCCUCUCAUUUAUCCAGCCUUGUAUCAGCCCUCUGUCAACUACCUGCCCUACCAAACACCGUCCUUUUACAACCAUUACGACCCAUCCCUCAGUUAUUUCCCCUUCUCUCAGCAGUACUACCACAGGAAUCCCAUUUUUAUCCCCACCCAGGAUUUGUAUGGAGGAGGAAUAUUUCAGGAUAACCUUGUUUUAAACAUACUUCUGAUAUUUUUUCUGUUGGCUGUAUUCGCACCUAUGUUGAUUUCAUCUUUGACGAUGAGCAACGACAUCCUUCAAUAAAAACAACCAAUUUCAUGGGAUGCAGGUCGUGACGAUGAUGAUGAUGAUGAUGAUGAUGAUAAAAUGAUGACGCUGGUUUUAUACAGUACAUAACG